GGAAGCGAGAGAGGCAAAGCCUUCAGAGACCAUGACUGCUGAGCUGGAAACCCAAGAGGCCCAGAAAGCCAGUGUGCAAUGCUCUGCCCUAAAGAUGGGGCUGUGUGAGAGUGAGGGUGUCGGUAUUCCUGGACGUCGGUGACAAGAGCGUCUGGAAGAUGUAACCCCCCUUGGACAGGGUCCAGGCUCUAGUGUCCCGCUGGAAAGGAUACUGUGCUGCAAGCCCCAUCCCACCCCAGUGAAGACAUGGCUCUGAAGAGUGGCACUGAAGCAAAGCAGCCUCCCUGCGGGGACUCACUUCUCAGUGCCGAAGAUUCAGAGAAAUAGUGAAAUUCAUCCCUGAGUCACCCAGAUAACAGUCACCUCUCAUUGUCCACGAAGGCCCUCCUCCAUGUCCUCCAAGUCAAGCCCUGGAUAUAGAGAAUGCCUCCUCCUCUCAGCAUCUCCAUCUCAACUCUUAUUCCAAGAACUGGAGAGGGGUCUAGAAUGGAGAACCAACAGUGCUUUGGGCUUCAUCCAAUCAAACAAGGUCAAGUCCAGUCCAGCACCCUCCUUUCUUCCACACUUAGGACAGAUGCUGCUGUAGGACACGAUUCCCUUCUGAAACCUUCAUUUGCCAGUCAUAUUUAGCAUCUGCUCCCAAACCAACUUGCCACCUUUUUCUCUUGUCACAGAGCAGAGAAGAAACAUGACCAGAUAAUGAACAAAUGGACGCAGCCUCACCUCUUAGCAGACCCUCAACCAUGGCCCAUAGCAUUACUAUUUCAUGGCUCGUCUUCAGACCAGUGUGUUCUGACCACACAAGCAGACAC
rnacentral:lncRNA from 1 species